GGAGAGGUGGCCGAGUGGCUGAAGGCGCUCCCCUGCUAAGGGAGUAAACGGUUUAUAGCCGUUUCGAGGGUUCGAAUCCCUCCCUCUCCGCAA
rnacentral:tRNA from 1 species